rnacentral:rRNA from 1 species
UACAGAGGGUGCAAGCGUUGCUCGGAAUCAUUGGGCGUAAAGGGUAGGUAGGUGGUCUCAUUUGUCAGGGGUGAAAUCCUUGGGCUUAACUCAAGAAGUGCCCCUGAAACGGUGAGACUGGAGUCUUGGAGAGGGUCGUGGAAUUCCCGGUGUAGCGGUGAAAUGCGUAGAGAUCGGGAGGAACACCAGAGGCGAAAGCGGCGGCCUGGACAAGUACUGACACUCAACUACGAAAGCGUGGGGAGCAAACAGG